ACAUAUUAUACAGUGAAGGAGUGAUUUGAGUCAAGAACAUUCAUAAUUGAAGAUGGCACACACCCCUGAUCUUUAAGGUCCCUGGUUGCAAAAACGCUUCGAAGGCUGAGGGUGACAACGAAAUUGAAAUUAUUCGACUGCGUUUGAUGUGGAUAUUGGAGACUCGGAGUUUACGACAAGACAGCUGUUGUUUACGGAACACUCGGGAACACGUUUCCUGAGGACCUACAAGCACCGAAAAUGUUUUGGACGACGUAAGUGUG